rnacentral:lncRNA from 1 species
UUGAUUAGGAUUUGUUAAGAUUUGAUAAAGAUUUUUUAGGAUUUUAUUAAGAUUUGUUUAGGUUUUUUUUAGGAUUUGGUUAGAGUUUGAUCAUGAUUUGACUAGGAUUUGGUUAAGGUUUGUUUAGGAUUUUAUUUGAAUUUGGUUAGGAUUUUUUUAGGAUUUGGUUAAGAUUUAUUUAAGAUUUGAUUAGGAUUUGGAUAGGAUUUAUUUAGGCUUUAACUAGGAUUUAUUUAAGAUUUGGUUAGGAUUUAGAUAGAAUUUGGUUAGAAUUUAUUUUGGAUUUGACUAAGAUUUAAUUAAGAUUUGUUUAAGAUUUUGAUUAGGAUUUAUUUAAGAUUUUAUUAGGAUUUGUUUAGGAUUUGGUUAGGAUUUAUUUAGAAUUUGAUUAGAAUUUAUUUAGGAUUUGGUUAGAAUUUGUUUAUGGUUUGUUUAGAAUUUGGUUAAAAUUUGUUUAAAAUUUGAUUAGAAUUUGGUUAAGAUUUGUUAAGAUUUGACUAGGAUUUAUUUAGAGUUUGGUUAGAAUUCGACUAGAAUUUGAGUAGAAUUUGAUUAAGUUUAGACUAAGAUUUAAUUAAAGUUUUUAUUUUAAUAUUUUAU